rnacentral:rRNA from 1 species
GAUGAACGCUGGCGGCGUGCCUAAUACAUGCAAGUCGAGCGAACGGACGAGAAGCUUGCUUCUCUGAUGUUAGCGGCGGACGGGUGAGUAACACGUGGAUAACCUACCUAUAAGACUGGGAUAACUUCGGGAAACCGGAGCUAAUACCGAAUAAUAUUUUGAACCGCAUGGUUCAAAAGUGAAAGACGGUCUUGCUGUCACUUAUAGAUGGAUCCGCGCUGCAUUAGCUAGUUGGUAAGGUAACGGCUUACCAAGGCAACGAUGCAUAGCCGACCUGAGAGGGUGAUCGGCCACACUGGAACUGAGACACGGUCCAGACUCCUACGGGAGGCAGCAGUAGGGAAUCUUCCGCAAUGGGCGAAAGCCUGACGGAGCAACGCCGCGUGAGUGAUGAAGGUCUUCGGAUCGUAAAACUCUGUUAUUAGGGAAGAACAUAUGUGUAAGUAACUGUGCACAUCUUGACGGUACCUAAUCAGAAAGCCACGGCUAACUACGUGCCAGCAGCCGCGGUAAUACGUAGGUGGCAAGCGUUAUCCGGAAUUAUUGGGCGUAAAGCGCGCGUAGGCGGUUUUUUAAGUCUGAUGUGAAAGCCCACGGCUCAACCGUGGAGGGUCAUUGGAAACUGGAAAACUUGAGUGCAGAAGAGGAAAGUGGAAUUCCAUGUGUAGCGGUGAAAUGCGCAGAGAUAUGGAGGAACACCAGUGGCGAAGGCGACUUUCUGGUCUGUAACUGACGCUGAUGUGCGAAAGCGUGGGGAUCAAACAGGAUUAGAUACCCUGGUAGUCCACGCCGUAAACGAUGAGUGCUAAGUGUUAGGGGGUUUCCGCCCCUUAGUGCUGCAGCUAACGCAUUAAGCACUCCGCCUGGGGAGUACGACCGCAAGGUUGAAACUCAAAGGAAUUGACGGGGACCCGCACAAGCGGUGGAGCAUGUGGUUUAAUUCGAAGCAACGCGAAGAACCUUACCAAACCUUGACAUCCUUUGACAACUCUAGAGAUAGAGCCUUCCCCUUCGGGGGACAAAGUGACAGGUGGUGCAUGGUUGUCGUCAGCUCGUGUCGUGAGAUGUUGGGUUAAGUCCCGCAACGAGCGCAACCCUUAAGCUUAGUUGCCAUCAUUAAGUUGGGCACUCUAAGUUGACUGCCGGUGACAAACCGGAGGAAGGUGGGGAUGACGUCAAAUCAUCAUGCCCCUUAUGAUUUGGGCUACACACGUGCUACAAUGGACAAUACAAAGGGCAGCGAAACCGCGAGGUCAAGCAAAUCCCAUAAAGUUGUUCUCAGUUCGGAUUGUAGUCUGCAACUCGACUACAUGAAGCUGGAAUCGCUAGUAAUCGUAGAUCAGCAUGCUACGGUGAAUACGUUCCCGGGUCU